rnacentral:rRNA from 1 species
UACGAAGGGGGCUAGCGUUGUUCGGAAUUACUGGGCGUAAAGGGCGCGUAGGCGGUGUGUCAAGUCAGGCGUGAAAGCCCCGGGCUCAACCUGGGAACAGCGCUUGAGACUGGCACGCUCGAGUUCGGGAGAGGAUGGUGGAAUUCCCAGUGUAGAGGUGAAAUUCGUAGAUAUUGGGAAGAACACCGAUGGCGAAGGCAGGUCUCUGGGCCGCAACUGACGCUGAGGAGCGAAAGCAUGGGGAGCGAACAGG